rnacentral:rRNA from 1 species
UACGUAGGGGCAAGCGUUUGUCCGGAUUUAUUGGGCGUAAAGAGCGUGUAGGCGGCCCAGGUAGGUCCGCUGUGAAAACUCGAGGCUCAACCUCGAGAUGUCGGCGGAAACCAUCUGGCUAGAGUCCGGAAGAGGAGAGUGGAAUUCCUGGUGUAGCGGUGAAAUGCGUAGAGAUCGGGAGGAAGGCCGGUGGCGAAGGCGGCGCUCUGGAACGUACCUGACGCUGAGACACGAAAACGUGGGGGAGCAAAACAGGG